UACAGAGGGUGCGAGCGUUGUUCGGAAUUACUGGGCGUAAAGCGCGCGCAGGCGGCCUUUUAAGUCUGACGGUGAAAUGCCGGGGCUCAACCCCGAGCGUGCCGCGGAUACUGGGAGGCUGGAGACGAGUAGAGGCAAGCGGAAUUCCGGGUGUAGCGGUGGAAUGCGUAGAGAUCCGGAAGAACACCGGAGGCGAAGGCGGCUUGCUGGGCUCGGUCUGACGCUGAGGCGCGAAAGCGUGGGGAGCGAACAGG
rnacentral:rRNA from 1 species